ACGAACGCUGGCGGCAUGCCUAAUACAUGCAAGUCGAACGCUGAAGCACUCUGCUUGCAGAGUGCGGAUGAGUGGCGAACGGGUGAGUAACACGUGGGAAAUCUGCCUAAGAGUGGGGGAUAACAUUCGGAAACGGAUGCUAAUACCGCAUAUAUUCUUGAACCGCAUGGUUCUGGAAAGAAAGACGGCUUUGCUGUCGCUUUUAGAUGAUCCCGCGGCGUAUUAGUUAGUUGGUGGGGUAAUGGCCUACCAAGACCAUGAUACGUAGCCGACCUGAGAGGGUGAUCGGCCACACUGGGACUGAGACACGGCCCAGACUCCUACGGGAGGCAGCAGUAGGGAAUCUUCCACAAUGGGUGCAAACCUGAUGGAGCAAUGCCGCGUGAAUGAAGAAGGUCUUCGGAUCGUAAAGUUCUGUUAUUAGAGAAGAACAAGUCGAGGAGUAACUGUCUCGACUUUGACGGUACCUAACCAGAAAGUCACGGCUAACUACGUGCCAGCCGCUGC
rnacentral:rRNA from 1 species